AAAACGACUCUCGGCAACGGAUAUCUCGGCUCUUGCAUCGAUGAAGAACGUAGCGAAAUGCGAUACUUGGUGUGAAUUGCAGAAUCCCGUGAACCAUCGAGUCUUUGAACGCAAGUUGCGCCUGAAGCCAUUAGGCUGAAGGCACGUCUGCCUGGGCGUCACGC
rnacentral:rRNA from 2 species